rnacentral:rRNA from 1 species
UUGUGCAAAGGGAGCAUAAUCAUUAGUCUUUUAAUUGAGGACCGGAAUGAAAGAGUGAACCGGGAGAAUUUUUUUUAAAUUAAGAAGAUGAAUUUUACUUUUUAGUAAGAAGGCUAAAAUAAUUCUUUUAGACAAGAAGACCCUAUAAAACUUUAUAUUUUUAUUUUCUUUUUGAAAAUUAAAGUAUUUCACUGGGGCGGUGAGGAAAAGAGCUUUCCUUAAUUUUUUAAACAAACUAGUUAAAAUACCUAGAAAUUCUAAAGAAGGAAUAAGUUACUUUAGGGAUAACAGCUUAAUUUAUUUAAAAAGAUCAAAUUGACAAAUAAGUUUAUGACCUCGAUGUUGAAUUAAAAUACCUUUCUUGUGCAAAAGUUGAGAAGGAGUCUGUCGACA